rnacentral:snRNA from 1 species
GUGCUUGCUUCAGCAGCGCAUAUACUAAAAUUGGAACGAUACAGAGAAGAUUAGCAUGGCCCUGUGCAAGGAUGACAUGCAAAUUCGUGAAGCGUUCCAUGUUUUU